AGCACUAUACAAAUAGAGGAAGCGGCCCAUUUGAAGAGGCAAAACGAAACGGAUGGCUAUGUUCCCUCCACGACUCCAACUACACUUCAUCUCUGCUGUUUUCUCCAAGUCGUGGUGUCGUAGUUGCUUUAGAAGUACUCAAUCAGAGUUUGAGUAAUUAGUAGAAUGUAAAAGUAGACCCACCGCAGAGCAAUUAGAUUGAUAUUACACAUACUGGAGCAAGUAGAAUUGGAAGAAGGAUUUUGAGUUAUUAGUGUGUUUUGGUAUUGAAGAAAAUGCAGAAUGAUGAGGUAGUGGUAAACGUACACCCAUGAAAGGUAUAUCUUUCUCAGAAACACUAUCAGCCUUUGCAUUUGCAUACACUGGCAUUGGCUGUAACGCGUACAUCAAGCCCACUCAUGCUUACACAAUUAUGGCUAAGAAGACCAAGAGUUCCGACACACCCUCUUCUAAAGAUACUGAGACACCUCCUCCGAGGAUUACAUCAAACUUGAAGCAGAAUUUGCAGUUCCUAAGAUUAUGGAAGGAGUUCCAAAAGAGAAAAUCCAGUACUCCGAAGCCUGCUACUAGUUAUCGUAAGAAGAAGGUGGAGAAGGAAGACCUGCCAGAAGACGAUGAGAUCUAUCGCGAUCCUACUUUGGCACUAUACUAUACAAAUCAGGUAUUAGAUAUUGCAGUUCCCGUCUUGCUUGUUGAUGGAUAUAAUGUGUGUGGAUAUUGGCCAAAGUUGAAGAAGCAUUUUAUGAAUGGAAGUCUUGACAUUGCUCGUCAAAAGCUCAUUGAUGAACUUGUAUCAUUCAGUUUGCUAAGAGAGGUGAAAGUGGUGGUUGUAUUUGAUGCCAUGAUGUCUGGACUACCUACACACAAGGAAAACUUUGAGGGCGUUGAUGUAGUAUACUCAAGUGAAACAUGUGCUGAUGCAUGGAUUGAGAAGGAGGUGGUCGCGUUAAGGGAGGAUGGGUGUCCAAAAGUCUGGGUUGUCACAUCUGAUCAUAAUCAGCAGCAUGCAGCCUAUGGAGCAGGGGCUUUUGUUUGGAGCUGCAAGGCAUUAAUCUCUGAGAUCAAAGCUUCACAUAAGGAGGUUGAGAGAAUGCUGCGGGAACAUAGGCAUUUCUUGUGAUUAGCCUUACAAUCUACUUAAUCUAGUUGAGGUUUGAAGGGACAUUGCUGGAUCCUUCAUCUUUCUUACAGCAUGUAGUUAUCAUUUGCAUUGUGGACAUUUCAAUCUCGUCAACUAUAUAUAACUAUCGCACCUAAGGGUGUGGCCUGGUGGUCAAUGAAGUGGGUUAAGAACCAUGGGGUCUCACGUUCAAAUCCCAACAGACAAAAAUCCAAGGGCGCGCAAGCUGGCCCGGACACCACGGUUAUUUGAAAAAAACUAUGUAUAACUACCCAUUCAGGAUACUCCUUUCCUUUCCAGCUGUCGAAUCAAUUGGUGAAACUAGUAAUGGGAGGCUAUAGUAUGACUAAUAUCUACUUCUAUGCAAGGUAAAUUGUUAAAGCACAACCUCGAUGCAGAAGUUGUGGAUGCUCUCAAGGACCUCAGGGAUCAGCUUUCUCAAAAUGAGACGCGAAGGUGAUAUAGUGUCACGAGAGGCUAUAUCAGAGACGAAACAGAAUUUUAAGUCAAUGGAUGCCUAGUUAUCACUGCACUAACAACUUUGUGACGGUAAUUUUGGGAUCACUAUAAAUACAUGCAUCUUGAAAAAAGUUCCAACCAUGUGCGCAUCUUGGGCUGAUGCUACCUUCAACAUACAUUUGCCUCUUGGGUUAUACCUUCUACCUUGUGACGACAUCAUGGAGAUGCAUACAUUUAAUUAUCUUUCCCAGUUCUUGCUGUCCUUUCCCCCCUAAUUCAACAAUAGUUUCAGAAAAGUUGGAUGUUGUAUUUACAAGUUGUGUCCAUUCUACAUUGUACAGCAUUGUCUGCUUAUAGGGAGUGAGUGAUAUACAAGUUGGAUCAGUUAAUUGUUCUAGCUUUGAUAAUAUUGCAAAUAUAACCUCUUAUGAUGUUGCGUGCA